GAUGAAGAACGUAGCGAAAUGCGAUAAGUAAUGUGAAUUGCAGAAUUCAGUGAAUCAUCGAAUCUUUGAACGCACAUUGCGCCCGUCAGUAUUCUGGCGGGCAUGCCUGUUCGAGCGUCAUUACGCCCCUCAAGUCCCCUGUGGACUUGGUGUUGGGGAUAGGCGAGGCUGGUUUUCCAGCACAGCCGUCCCUUAAAUUAAUUGGCGGUCUCGCCGUGGCCCUCCUCUGCGCAGUAGUAAAACACUCGCAACAGGAGCCCGGCGCGGUCCACUGCCGUAAAACCCCCCAACUUUUUAUAGUUGACCUCGAAUCAGGUAGGACUACCCGCUGAACUUAAGCAUAUCAAUAAGCGGAGGA
rnacentral:misc_RNA from 1 species